UUGGAGGGCAAGUCUGGUGCCAGCAGCCGCGGUAAUGCCAGCUCCAAUAGCGUAUAUUAAAGUUGCUGCAGUUAAAAAGCUCGUAGUUGAAUUUCGGGGUUAGUAGGUUGGUCAUGCCACUGGUAUGUACUGGUCUCACUGAUUCCUCCUUCCUGAUGAGCCGUAACGCCAUUAAUUUGGUGUUGCGAGGAAUCUGGACUGUUACUUUGAAAAAAUUAGAGUGUUUAAAGCAAGCUAACGCUUGAAUACAUUAGCAUAGAAUAAUGAAAUAGGACGUUCGAUCCUAUUUUGCUGGUUUCUAGGAUUGACGUAAUGAUUAAUAGGGAUAGUUGGGGGCAUUAGUAUUCAAUUGUCAGAGGUGAAAUUCUUGGAUUUAUUGAAGACUAACUACUGCGAAAGCAUUUGCCAAGGAUGUUUUCAUUAAUCAAGAACGAAAGUUAGGGGAUCGAAGACGAUCAGAUACCGUCGUAGUCUUAACCAUAAACUAUGCCGACUAGGGAUCGGAUGAUGUUAAUUUUUUAAUGACUCAUUAGGCGCCUUACGGGAAACCAAAGUGUUUGGGUUC
rnacentral:rRNA from 1 species